rnacentral:rRNA from 1 species
GGGGCUUAGGCUCCGGCGCACAGAGAGGCCCAAGUGAGAUUAGCUAGUUGGUAAGGUAAAGGCUUACCAAGGCAACGAUCUCUAGCUGUUCUGAGAGGAAGAUCAGCCACACUGGAACUGAGACACGGUCCAGACUCCUACGGGAGGCAGCAGUGGGGAAUAUUGCACAAUGGGGGAAACCCUGAUGCAGCCAUGCCGCGUGUGUGAAGAAGGCCUUCGGGUUGUAAAGCACUCUCAGUUGUGAGGAAAAGUUAGUAGUUAAUACCUGCUAGCCGUGACGUUAACAACAGAAGAAGCACCGGCUAACUCCGUGCCAGCAGCCGCGGUAAUACGGAGGGUGCGAGCGUUAAUCAGAAUUACUGGGCGUAAAGCGCACGCAGGCGGUUUGUUAAGCUAGAUGUGAAAGCCCCGGGCUCAACCUGGGAUAGUCAUUUAGAACUGGCAGACUAGAGUCUUGGAGAGGGGAGUGGAAUUCCAGGUGUAGCGGUGAAAUGCGUAGAUAUCUGNGAGGAACAUCANGUGGCGAAGGCGACUCCCUGGCCAAAGACUGACGCUCAUGUGCGAAAGUGUGGGUAGCGAACAGGAUUAGAUACCCUGGUAGUCCACACCGUAAACGCUGUCUANUANGCNGUUUGUGACUUUAAGUCGUGAGUAGCGAAGCUAACGCGCUAAGUAGACCGCCUGGGGAGUACGGCCGCAAGCUUANAAACUCAAAUGAAUUGACGGGGGCCCGCACAAGCGGUGGAGCAUGUGGUUUAAUUCGAUGCAACGCGAAGAACCUUACCUACACUUGACAUGCUGAGAACUUUCUAGAGAUAGAUUGGUGCCUUCGGGAACUCAGACACAGGUGCUGCAUGGCUGUCGUCAGCUCGUGUCGUGAGAUGUUGGGUUAAGUCCCGCAACGAGCGCAACCCUUGUCCUUAGUUGCCAGCCUUAAGUUGGGCACUCUAAGGAGACUGCCGGUGACAAACCGGAGGAAGGUGGGGACGACGUCAAGUCAUCAUGGCCCUUACGUGUAGGGCUACACGCGUGCUACAAUGGCAUUUACAGAGGGAAGCGAGACAGUGAUGUGGAGCGGACCCCUUAAAGAAUGUCGUAGUCCGGAUUGGAGUCUGCAACUCGACUCCGUGAAGUCGGAAUCGCUAGUAAUCGCAGGUCAGAAUACUGCGGUGAAUACGUUCCCGG